rnacentral:snoRNA from 1 species
UCGACUGUACUUUCAGGAUCAUGUGUACAGUUGCCAUCUAGUCUUUUGGUUCCAAACAACCAAACUAGACACUUUGAUCACUCCAGAAGAUGACGUGCGGAGCCGCGGCUCGAGCGGGAAGUGGGGAGGUGAGCGCGACGUUCAACCUGCUGUCGGAGGCCUCGGUCGAUGAUGGCGGGUGUCGCUGCUCCCUUCCGUUGAAGAUCGCGUCCGGUGCUUAUGAUGUGUCCUUGGACCGUCGGGUAUCGCGGCGAGGUCGCUGGCUCGUUCUGAUGGAG